rnacentral:lncRNA from 1 species
AGUCGAACCACAUUAAAUUCUGAUAUUCUUGCAAUUACUAUGAUUUCUCUAUGCUUUUAGUAUUAUCGUUAGUAUAAUUUUUAUUUUCACUUUAUCUAUCAUCUUUCAAUAUUCGAAUCCCAAUACCAUCUCCCACCUGAUCCUUAGAAUACAGGUCUAACUAAAACUGAUCUUCUACACUACCGCAUGUCAACUUGUGAUAUAUGUGAAUGAUUCCACACAAAAUGAGCAUUUUAAUGAUAAAUAUGGUUCCAUCAAUUGGUGAGAUUUC